GUGGAGCGCGCAGCUCACUCGCUGUCUGCGGGUUCAUGCACAGCUGGACGGACGCGCGCUUUCCCUGUCCGUGGUCCCGAACGCGCUCCCGCACCUAUAGUGCUGGCUUCCACCGCUCCACGUUUAUUUUUUCUUCUUCUGUCUUUUUCAUUUUUCUCAUUCUGUCUUUUUCAAGGGUGAAUUCUGAUGGAUUAUUCUCGUUUGUGAUUUCAAAUAUAGGCUAGCUAAUCGACAAAAAUGGAAAAGCGAGGAAUAACAGAAGUCGGAAAGGGAGUUUCGAAGGACAUUUCAGUGACUGUGGAACAAGAUUUUAAUUGAUUGAUUGAUCGUGGUGUUUUGUAAGUCGUCUACACGGAAUAAAAACGCAUUUUUUUUUUUUACUGGGUCAAAAAAUACUGCUCAGGUUUCCACACUCAAGGAAUAUGCUGAAAUAUCUUACAGCCAAUUCAAAUUAAAAUCUCUUAUUCAUUUUGAGUGGAAUAUUAUUUUUGGAGAUGGAUACGGUGAAGGAACGAGUUUUGGCUCCCGGUAAGGAGAGAUUGAGGAAUCUGGCCGGGAAAACCCUGGGACACAUGCACAGGGUGAUGGAGAAGAAGCAGAAGACGGGUGAGGUGAUCGAGCUGACGGAAGAUGGGCGUCCCGCGCAAAUGAAAGAGAAGAAAGCGCCUCUGUGCGACUGCACGUGCUUCGGGCUCCCGCGCCGCUACAUCAUCGCCAUCAUGAGCGGCCUCGGCUUCUGCAUCUCGUUCGGGAUCCGCUGUAACCUCGGAGUCGCGAUCGUCGGCAUGGUCAACAACAGCACCAUUCACAAAGACGGCAAGAUCAUAAUCACAGAGAAAGCUAAGUUUAACUGGGAUCCGGAGACGGUGGGAAUGAUCCACGGCUCUUUUUUCUGGGGCUAUAUAGUGACACAGAUCCCAGGUGGAUACAUAUCCUCACGACUGGCUGCCAACAGGGUGUUUGGUGCUGCUAUCCUGCUGACGGCCACACUCAACAUGUUCAUCCCCUCGGCUGCACGAGUGCACUACGGCUGUGUCAUGUUCGUCAGGAUCCUGCAGGGCCUGGUGGAAGGUGUGACCUACCCAGCAUGCCAUGGAAUUUGGAGCAAGUGGGCUCCACCCCUUGAGAGAAGUCGCCUAGCAACCACCUCUUUUUGUGGUUCGUACGCGGGUGCUGUGAUCGCCAUGCCGCUGGCAGGAAUAUUAGUCCAGUACUCAGGAUGGUCUUCUGUCUUCUAUAUAUAUGGGUGUUUUGGGAUUUUCUGGUACAUGUUUUGGAUUCUGGUUUCAUAUGAGAGCCCAGCAGAUCAUCCCACCAUCACAGAUGAAGAGAGAACUUACAUAGAGGAGAGUAUUGGAGAAAGUGCCAAUCUACUUGGGCCGUCUGAGAAAUUCAAGACACCCUGGAGGAAGUUCUUCACCUCCAUGCCGGUCUAUGCAAUCAUUGUGGCCAACUUCUGCCGGAGCUGGACCUUCUAUCUGUUGCUCAUCAGUCAGCCGGCGUACUUUGAAGAAGUGUUUGGCUUUGAAAUCAGUAAGGUCGGUAUGCUCUCUGCUUUACCUCACCUGGUCAUGACCAUCAUCGUGCCAAUUGGUGGCCAACUGGCUGACUACCUGCGCAGAAAAAACAUCUUAUCCACCACCACCGUCAGGAAGAUCAUGAACUGCGGAGGGUUUGGAAUGGAGGCCACGCUGCUGUUAGUGGUUGGUUUCUCUCACAGCAAAGGUGUGGCCAUCUCAUUCCUGGUGCUAGCCGUUGGUUUUAGCGGAUUUGCUAUAUCAGGUUUUAAUGUCAACCACUUGGACAUUGCGCCAAGGUAUGCCAGCAUCCUGAUGGGCAUUUCUAAUGGAGUGGGCACACUUUCUGGUAUGGUCUGCCCUCUCAUUGUUGGGGCUAUGACCAAAAAUAAGACUCGUGAGGAAUGGCAGAACGUGUUCCUGAUCGCCUCACUGGUGCAUUACGGUGGCGUCGUGUUCUACGGGAUAUUCGCGUCCGGAGAAAAGCAGCCGUGGGCAGAUCCAGAGGAGACCAGCGAGGAGAAGUGUGGCUUCAUCGAUGAAGACGAGUUGGCGGAGGAGACCGGUGACAUCACGCUGAGCAGCGCUCCUUUCGGAGGCCAGGCCGGUCUUGGAGGCCCCGCCAAAACAUAUGGGGCCACAACACAGCUCAAUGGGGGAUGGGCGAAAAGCUGGGAGAAAUCCGAGGAAUACAUCCAGGAGGACGCCGAGCAGACGUAUAGAGGAGACGGGUACUCGUAGAUGUUUCAUUUCUAAUGAGUCAAAACAUAACAAAUCUUUUGAAAUAAGACAAAGUAAAAAAAGAAAUAAAGAGAGAUAUAAGUGAUUAUAGACGCAAUCCUCAACAAGCAUAUCUGUAGAGUCAGAGACGUCUUUUAAAAAGAGUCUUUGUCCAAUCUGAAGUAAAUAUAUAUAAAGAAAAUAUUUAAGAAGGAAUAAUGUAUUGAGAUAUAUAAAUGAGAAUAUACAGCUAAUUAGAUAGAAAAUAUCAUAUUUAGGAUUAUACAAAGGAUUUAUAUGGCUAAAUCAGUUUAAAGACAAUGUAAAUGUUUCUUUUAAAAGUACAGAUGUUCAAUUAUUACUGUGGUUUACAACAUUUAAUCAACUGACAAUAUUUAAUAGCACAGACAUCUGUAAUCAAAGCACAGGUCUUGGCUGUUUUUUUUUUUACAGGUUUUGUUUUAGUUUUGUAUCUGUAACUUUAAUAGAUGAGUAGUUGAGGACCAAUCAGAGUAGAGUAGAGUAGAGUAGAUUAACAUGUAAUUUUGUUCAAAAGAAACAAGUGUUUACUCUGGUUUAAAGAGCUCUUGCCAUUGACCUUACAGAAAAUAUGCAAAAUUUGGGUUCUUUGACUAUAUUAUAUAACUUAAACCUACAAAGAAUGCUGUUUAUCAUUAUGUUCAUGUACUGCAUUACACAUUAUAAACUGGUCCCUUUAAAUGGGACAUAAACCUAGAAGGUAGAGCAAAAAUAGACAACCGCUUGGUGCAGAAAGAAUCUAAUAGCACAAAUUUGCAAAUAUAACUGCUAUAUCUGAAACUCAUGUGUAUUAAAAUAAGUGUGAAAUAUAUUGAAAAACCUUUAAAUGUUUGAAACGUCCUAAAGUACACUUGAGAAAUUUUUAAAGUGCAAUCUUGUAUAAAUUGUUCAGCUACUUUUCAUCAACGAUACAUUCAAGUGUGUGUUUGGCAAUACAGUCCUGUAUUUUAAGUGGUAUUAAGCUGGUCUUCAUUUAAAAUGUUUCAUUUUAACCACCAUGUAAUGACAAACCAGACAUUUUGAUACUUUGAAUGCACUGACAUGUUGUUAUUUGAAAAGAAAAAAAAAAGUAAUUUCUCUCUCGAGUAUGUGUUUUGACAUGGAUUUACUGUUUCUGUGAGACUGUUGUGAAGCUGGGUCAGUGAUAUCUGUGCUUAUACUGUUUAUUGGGCCAUAUUUAUCAUAUAAACUGUCAUAAGAGCGAGGCGGUUCAUGUGGAAUGUGUAUUGUGAUGCAACUAUGGUCGAACCCUGAAUAAGGACCAGGUGAUCAUCUAACGAGUUUAACUGGCGCCAAAGCUGAUGUGAGUGAAUCUCACGAAACCUGUCAGGGACGAGUCUACAGGUCUUAUUUCACCUAUUUCAGUUAGUUUGUAUUUAUUAAAAAUUAAUAAAUGGUCAUUAAUUGCUCACCCUCAUCCUGUCCCUCAUCUUCGAAACACAAAUGAAGAUCAUUUACAUAAAAUCGGAGAGAUUUCUGUCCCUAAAUUGACAGCUCUGCAACUACCACUUUGAUGCUUCAUAAAUACAACUAAUCCGUAUGAAUUAAGUGGUUUAGUUCAAAAUGUCAGAAGAGACUUGAUCGCUUUAUAUGACGAACAGGUUUAAUUUAGUCUUUUGUUCACAUCACAUCAGUGAAUCAUCUACGAAUAUACUCGACACGAGAGAACAAACCUCAUUGGUAAACACCAUCAUUGGUUCUUGCAUGUCAAGCAAUCAUGUUUGAGCUUCUUUUUAACUUAACUGAUGUAUGAGUUGAUGAUUAUAUGUGAUUAAAAGCCUAAAUUCAAUGUGUUCAUCAUAUAAAGCGAUCGAGGAUAUUUGGACUGAACCACUUAACUCAAACGGAUUAGUUUAACGAUCUUUUUACGAACGUUUUUAUGCAUUAAAGUGGUAGUUGCAGAGCUGUCAAUGGAGGGACAGAAACGUCU